AGUGAUGGACGUAUUUUAGUAAAGGCCUGGUUUUUAAACUUGCAAGUGUACCUAAUGAAAUGGCUACGUCUCCUGGCUAAUGAAAGACCCACUCGAGGAUCCACCGAACUGUGACCCCUCCCCAAAAGAGACACCCCACCCCACCUCACCCCACCCCACCCCACCCCAAGCCUUCAUACACGCCAUCCAUAUUUCAUGCAGCAUCCCUCUCUCUCUCUCUCAUCUCCGUCUUGUGGACUUCUCGCACCCUCACACAUUCUAUUAGACAAUCCGUGCGCCAUGUUUUAUUCAUGUCCUCUGAACAUCUGCUUGUCCAGAUGUCAGGAAUCAUGAGACACCCACCACCCCGCCUUCCCUCUCCUCAAGGGACCGCUGCCUUGACUGGCUGUAAAUGAACGUCAAAAGCGGCUGUCAGGCCCGCCGGAGGAAUCUUUCAUGACUUUUGGGACCGAGUAGCGGUGGUUGGUGGGCUUUUGAAACGGCCGUGGUCCACGAGGUUUGCCCAACUCACAGGAACUGUGUGGAGGAAAAAAAAGACAGAGUGAAAAAGAAAAGAGGCAAGCAAACAAGUACCCGCGGACUGACUCACAGCCACGGCAACUUUUCGGGACGAUUCGUGGACGAGUGCUCGGAGGUUUACGGGCCAUCUAUCUCCUCACCUGGCAGCGAGGUGAGUGACGAGCCGCGCAUUUGCCGGCACAUCAUUAUUUUCCUUCCUCAACAAGAAUUGGUCCUUCAUCACUCAAACUUUUUCAAAAGACCAAAAAAAAAAAACUCGGAUGAAUUUCUAUUGAGACGUUUGUUUUUAAUCUCAGCCAUCGAUGUGGGUGAGUGGCAUCAUUGUAUCAAAUCAAUGAGAUGAGCGUCCAGUUUAUGCACCGAGCGAAUGGCCACGUCGGCGCUUGGGUGCGAGCGAGCCGCUAAAGGCCGUUUUGAGUGGCAUAAUUGAUCAAGUGACGGCCCACUUUUGAUUUGACUUUCAUUUGAUGCGCAUGUCUGUGUCGAGUCAUCCUUCACUGCCUCCUCCUAGUCACUCCCUCCUUCUUUUCACUUACUCUAUAGAUUUUCCUCACAUGAUAAAUUGGACUCAGGGAUCCACUGAGGUGUGACCCGGUGCCAGACGACCAGCACGGAUUCUCUUUUUUUUAUUCAUUUAUUCUUUUUGUGCUUUAAUGUCCCUAAUUAGUCUCUUACAGAUUGCUGGUGACCAAUGUUGUCAAUGAUACGCAUACACAAAAAUAAAGAACUAAAUAAAAAUCCAGGGUUGGUUUCCUAACCGACUUGCUGGCGAGUUGAGCAGAUUGGGUGACUUUUAUCUAAGAUUGGGUUCAUUAUUUUGACCCAGCCGAUUGGAUUUUGGUCACUAUUUUGUUCGCUGAAGUUGAAGUACAUUAACGGUAACAUUCGUAUCUCAGAGGGUAACACCGCAGACUUUGGAAAUAGAGAUUGGGGUUUAAGUCCUGGUCAUGGAAAAUGAAUAGAUGACAUCAGGAAGCCAAAAACAUCAUGCAGUUGACUUUCUGCAGCAACCCCUCACAGGGGCAAGUUACUUCUUCCAAAAUGUUGGGAAUAAAAUCUGUUGUUCUUACCCAUAGCUGUAUUGAUAACCCGGUAAGCCAUUUCUGGGUUCCUUUAACUCACUGGUGUCAAACUGAAGGCCCGGGGGCCAGAGCUGGCCCGCCACAACAUUUGAUGUGGCCUGUGAAAACAAAUUAAAGAUGUCAACUUUCAUGAUGCUUGCUAAAAUCUCGACCAAAAUUUCAAACUCUCAUUUGUAAUAAAUAAGAGCUGUAAGCAUACUGUAAGCAUUUUCUUGUUACCAAACCUCCCAUUCCAGUAACUUUUAAACAAUAAAUAUGAAUGAAUAAACCGUUAGUCUUGACUUCUUUAUAUGGUUUCAGUCAUAACGGCCCUGCAAGGAAAACGGUAACUAAAACGUGGCCCGCGACAAAAAUGAGUUUGACGCCCCUGCUUUAACUCAUCAUUAAGGACAAUUUUCCUCUCUUUGUUGGAUCAAAAUCUUAACCCAACGUACUGGAUCAAAUCCUCAACACAAUGGGUCUAAAAAUAACCCAGCAUUGUCUCGGUUACUUUUGGACCCAGCGCUGGGUUAUCGAUCUCACCCAAUUUGAGUUAAUUUUGAAUUUUUUGCAUGCUGAGUCAAAUCCUCAAGCCACCGUGUACACAUACGGCGAGUGGACACAGAAUGUGCGUAACCAGCACUUGACAGACUUACUCCCCAUUAGAAGUAGCACUGCUGUCAGUGUCAGACGAGUCGGGGUGUUGGGGGGGAGGGGGGGCGCUGUAGAGAUGAAGUGGAGAGUGACACGAGCGAUGAUUGUCACGUCAAAGAUGCGAGUAUGGAAACGGAUGAAAUGGUAGACUACACAUGAUUUUGUUGCAUACAAAUUUUAUGGUAAAAAUGUUAAUUUGCACAACAAAACAAGCUAGUUGUUUGCCCCAAAACAAUUUACUGAGUUGUUUUCCCUUAUACAGUAAUCCCUCAUUUAUCGCGGGGGUUACGUUCCAAAAAGAACCAGCGAUAGCUGUAUUUUUUUUACAGUUAUUAUACAAUACUGAACUAUGUAUACAAUGAAACCAAAGACCAAAACCUGUUUUCAGGCCCAAGCACAAAAAAAAAGAAAAGAAAAACGUUAUCAACAAAUAACUGUCAUGAUUCGGUUUGGGACCAACAGGUGGCACUGUAGGGCUCCCCCUGCAGCUGCACACCUGUUGGUCAUUAUGUAAUUAGU